AUCAGGAUGGCCAAGUGGUCUAAGGCGCCAGACUCAAGUUCUGGUCUUCGAAAGAGGGCGUGGGUUCAAAUCCCACUUCUAAGU
rnacentral:tRNA from 1 species